rnacentral:rRNA from 1 species
CCGCGGGAUUAGAGUUUGAUCCUGGCUCAGAGCGAACGCUGGCGGCGUGCUUAACACAUGCAAGUCGAGUGCGCGUCUGUAGCAAUACAGAUGGCGCACGGCGCACGGGUGCGUAACACGUGGGCAAUCUGCCCUUCGAUGGGGAAUAACCUCGCGAAAGCGAGGCUAAUUCCGCAUAACAUUCCGAUGAUCUUGGUCAAUGGAUUCAAAGCCGUAAGGCGUCGAAGGAGGAGCCCGCGCACGAUUAGCUAGUUGGUGAGGUAACGGCUCACCAAGGCUAUGAUCGUUAGCUGGUCUGAGAGGAUGGCCAGCCACACUGGAACUGAGACACGGUCCAGACUCCUACGGGAGGCAGCAGUGGGGAAUCUUGCACAAUGGGCGAAAGCCUGAUGCAGCGACGCCGCGUGGGGGAUGAAGCUUUUCGGAGUGUAAACCCCUUUCGACCCGGACGAAUGCCUCGCAAGAGGACUGACGGUACGGGUAUAAGAAGCCCCGGCUAACUACGUGCCAGCAGCCGCGGUAAGACGUAGGGGGCCAGCGUUGCUCGGAAUUACUGGGUGUAAAGGGUUCGUAGGCGGUGCGGCAAGUUGGGAGUGAAAUCUCUGGGCUCAACCCAGAGGCUGCUUCCAAAACUGCUGUGCUUGAGUGUGGGAGAGGCGCGUGGAAUUGCAGGUGUAGCGGUGAAAUGCGUAGAUAUCUGCAGGAACACCCGUGGCGAAAGCGGCGCGCUGGACCACAACUGACGCUGAGGAACGAAAGCUAGGGGAGCAAACAGGAUUAGAUACCCUGGUAGUCCUAGCCCUAAACGAUCAGGACUUGGGGUGCUUCACGUUCGUGGAGCGU